rnacentral:rRNA from 1 species
UACGUAGGGUGCAAGCGUUAACCGGAAUUACUGGGCGUAAAGCGUGCGCAGGCGGUUAUGUAAGACAGGUGUGAAAUCCCCGGGCUUAACCUGGGAACUGCAUUUGUGACUGCAUAGCUAGAGUACGGUAGAGGGGGAUGGAAUUCCGCGUGUAGCAGUGAAAUGCGUAGAUAUGCGGAGGAACACCGAUGGCGAAGGCAAUCCCCCUGGACCUGUACUGACGCUCAUGACACGAAAGCGUGGGGGAGC